rnacentral:rRNA from 1 species
AGUUCGGAUUGCAGGCUGCAACUCGCCUGCAUGAAGCUGGAAUUGCUAGUAAUCGCGGAUCAGCAUGCCGCGGUGAAUACGUUCCCGGGCCUUGUACACACGCCCGUCACACCAUGAGAGUCGGGAACACCCGAAGUCCGUAGUCUAACCGCAAGGAGGGCGCGGCCGAAGGUGGGUCCGGUAAUUGGGGUGAAGUCGUAACAAGGUAUC